GAAACAGAAGGAUUUCAGAAGUUGGCUGGUUGUGUGAUCACUGAUCCACAGACGAGAACUGAAAGGUGCAGAUGUUGCAGAAACAGCCGGAGCGUCGGGAUCCGUCCUCAGAGCGCCAGCAGGCAGACACCAAGUUAGCCGCUACAGAUUAAAAUCAUUUUAUAAACUGCUGAGAUCACCAAGUAAUAUUUCCAGUCUGAUUAAGCAGCUUAUGAGACCAGUAACACCAGUAUUACCAGUUAGAAGUUGUGCCUGAACUUUCCCAGCAGAGUGGUUUGUGUAAAUGAUUAGGGAGAUGAUUUAGGAAGUUUAGAGUUUGAAAGCUCUUCAAUUAGCUCGUCAGUAUUAAGAGCAGAAAGAGCCGGUCGGUAAUGAAGCUCUCAGCUGAAGCCAUUAUCAAUCCGUCACCAGAGCCAAUUGUUCCUGCUAUCGACGGACCUCAGACGUCCUGAAACGGCUCCAUUUAACCCAUCCAUGGAUUAAUCAUGUUAUUUGUUGGCCAAUUUGCAUGUAAUUAUUUAAUAGCCAGUGUUUGUUUAAAGAGCCAUUUUGAAUGCUGCAGCUGCAAAGACAAAGCAGAAACACAAAAUGAUCUCAAUCUGACGGUUAAUGACUCAUCACACAUUUCCUCUAAUAACAGCUUCCACUCGCUUUAUGGAAACAGUCUGGAGAUUAUUUCUCAUAUUAACAUCCAAACUGUUUGUCUGCAGAGUCAAAAUAUUUUCUGAGCUUUUCUUCAUUAUCUUGUUGUGGAAUUUAACUUGCCUUGUUCUUAACUCUGGUAUAUUUACAUCUUUACCUGAUGCUGACUAAUGUUCAUGUCUGUUUCCAAUCUUUGCUGCAGUGAAAGUCCAGCCGUCUUGAUUUAACCUGAUUAACACCCUGAGAACCUGCAGCAGGUUUUCUGUUUCGUGUUUCCACCUGCUGCAGACUAAAGUCAAACAUCAGAACAGCAUCUGCAUUUAAAAUCUCCUAAUUUAGACCUUUAUUUAAUCCUCUUGACUAAAUAUUUCAGCUUGUAGCAGCUGUAAUGCAGGAUUAUCAUGUUUCUCUAACAGUUCUGUUCUGAGAGAUCUUCUUGUUUUCUAAAACUCAGGAUGUCAGACAAUCUGACCUGAAACUAACGACGCUAAAGUCUCCGAUUUAAACACUCCCUCUGCGAUUUGGCCACAAACUCAGCCUGUUUGAUAUUUAAUCAUAUUUCUGUUGUUGUUGUCAUCAUCUAACAACUCUUUAAUCUUUGAUGGAAUGAUUUUCUGGUCCAAAUGCGACAGAUCCCACAGCAUGACGGUGAAAUAAUGAGCAAACGGAUUCCAAGAAACGGAUUCACUGAGCGAAAAAAUGACUGGGAGAUAAAUCACAUCAUAGAUAGAUGGAUAUUAAAGAUUUGUCUUUUAAAUGAGGGGAAAGUUAGGACACCCUGUGUUCUAUAGGAAGAUGUUUAGUUUACUUCACAUUUGGUCUCGCCAUCCACACAGCCUGACACUUCCACCUCCGUGCUUCGCUGCUAUGCAGCGAAAACCGGCCAUGUUCAUCCUGCAGCUUUCAGACCAAACACAUGGCUUGUUACCUGAAGAGCUGAAUGAUGCAGAUUUGCAUUUGCAAGUAAAUAAAAGAGACUAGUUUAAAUAUAUGCUGAGAGUGAAACUCCUUCCUAAAAAUGAAUAUCACAGAUUUAAAAAAAAUAUAUACCCGGGAGAUCGCAGGUGAUGUAGGAAACAGCGCCCCCUUCGCUUCCGGAGUGCAAUGGUCCCAUUUCCAAACGGCAGGAGGCCCCCUGCGGCCUGUUUGUUACAGCGAAGUCCUGCCAAGAAAAGACAGUUUGGUUGGGCGUGAGAGGAGCUAGCAGAGGAGCAGGUAGCUGGUUUUAAGUGAUUAAACUCAGACUAGUCAGGAGAAGCAAGUUAGCAAGUUAAUAAGCACGUUAGCAGGACACGGCAGAGUUUGGGCCUGAAGCUGUGCGCUUAUUUCCUGGAGAGUUAUGGUGAAGCUAGCCUAGCUGCUGCUAAUAAGGACUUCUGUUAGCUGCCAAAGUAAAACUGGGGAAGCUGUAGAAGGUCGUUACCGGACUGGACCCCAGUCGGACCCCAGAUGGGCCCUCCGAGGCCCGCGUCGCUCAGAGAGCCUCUGGCUCCGUGGGAAACGUGGAGCUGUGGAUGUGGACGUGGAGAGCAGACAACGGUACCGUCCUGACCUGCAGUUUCUUCUCCAGAGGUCUGUCUGGACCACGGGGUGAGGUCCAGCCCGGAUUAAUCUGUGGGAAAUCAAGAUUACUCAAGCUGUUCUGACCCGGAAGACGCGCAGAGACAAAUGGGAAAGGAGCGACCGACUCGGUGGGUUCUGGUUCCGCUGGGCCAACGGCGGCUCAGCUCAUCCAUGAAGCUGCAACUUCUGCUGCGUUCCUGCAGCUAAAGCUCAAUCAAUCAUGGAGCAGCAGAAAGCAGAGGCUGAACGGCUCCAGUGUGACCCGGGAGGCAUCGGUGUGCAGGCAGCCGGGACCUUUAAGGCUUUAAAGCUCUCAGUGUGGCUGAAUGCUUCUGCACAGCAGGAAGAUACCAACACUGAGCUGGACUGGGUAAAUCUCAGAGCGCGAUGAUGCAUCAAUGAGAGGUCACAGCAAAAUGGUUUCAUUCACAAAGAGGACAAACAUGUUUCACUCCAUCAUACAUUAAAACACAAAACCAGGAAAUGUCA